AAAUGAUCGAACUACGCGCAGACGCCAUUUGGUGGAUGGAUAGGCUUGAGUGGCUAUGAAGGGCGUGUCAAGCUGCGAUAUGCCUCAGGUAGGUGCAUGAGACCUUUGAUCUGAGGAUGCCCGAAUAGGACUUCCUUUUAGCGAUCCUUUUGGAUCCCUAAAGUUCCAGAUUUUAUUAUUUGGAACGCGAAACCUUUGGAAUGAAACAUCUGAGUAAAAGGGUGAAAAGAAAUCAAUAGAGAUCCCCUUAAUAGCAGCGAGCGAAAUGGGGUUAGCCCAAUCUGAAUCUCUAAUGGUAACAUUAGAGAGAUGUGGGGUUUGUUACAAGAGUUUGCGUUCCUUUCUUUUCUAGUUGAAGUAGUCUGGAAAGACUCAACAUAGAGGGUGAUAUUCCCGUAAACAAAGUAUGGAGAGAGGUACGUUUUUGUAACAGAGUACCUGGCCUUGACAGUGGCUAGGGAAUGUGGGGGAAAGCAGCCUCCAAGGCUAAAUACAACUCAAGACCGAUAGUGAAUAGUACCGUGAGGGAAAUCUGAAAAGAACCCUGAAAGGGGUGUGAAAAGUGCCUGAAACCAAAUGGUUACAGACGUGUAUUGCUUGAAAGGAACAUUUGUAGAUUAUGAUUAUUCGUAAGAAUAUUCAUAGUUUACCCGUUCUAGAGUGAUAUAUUCCGUCUAGAAACACGGGCCAGGGAGUUUAUUGUUAUGGCGAGCCUAAGAGUUAAACUCGUAAGCAAAGGGAAACCGAUAUUCUGCAUUUUUAUUUAUUAAUUUGAGAGAAGAGGUCUGAAAGGGCCUUUAGUCAUAGCAGUAAGACUAGAAUCCGGACGAUCGUGUCUUGAGUAGGAUGAAGCCUGGGGAAACCUGGGUCGAGGUCCACAAGGGUGUUGACGUGCAAAUCACUCCCCUGACUUGAGACAAGGGGCCAAAAGCCAAUCUAGUCCGGUGAUAGCUAGUUCCCACCGAAGUAGAUCUCAGUCUAGCCUAGGCAGACUUUGUUGGCGUUGUAGAGCACUGAUAAGGAAGUUUUGGAACCGAAAGGUUCUCCUUCCUUUUCAAACUCCGAAGGUGCCAACAAGUGAGAAGCCUGGAGACGGGUUUAUGUGGGGUAAGCCUCAUAACCGAGAGGGGAGCAACCCAGACUAAAGUUAAGGUCCCCAAAUGUCAACUAAGUGUCAAACGAAAGAGUGUCUUCAAGCUAAGACAGCAGGAAGGUAGGCUUAGAAGCAGCCAUCCUUCAAAGAAUGUGUAACAACUCACCUGUCGAGCUCGUUGGCCUCGAAAAUGGACGGGGCUCAAGUUGACUACCGAUACUUUGGACCACGAAUAAUAUCGUGUGUGGUAGGUGGGCGUAGGGAGUGGGUAGAAGUAGGGUCGUGAGAUCCUGUGGACCGCUUUCUAUUGCAGAUCCUGGUGGUAGUAGCAGCGUAGUCGAGUGAGAAUCUCGAUCACCGUAUGGGCAAGGUUUUCCUGGCAACGCGUCGUCGACCAGGAGUAAGCCGAUCCUAAGUGUAAUCCGAAAGGCGUUGCACGAAGAGGGAAACAGGUUAAUAUUCCUGUGCCUUGGUUGAUCCGUUAUUAUCUAAAAUAACUGCUUCGAGAUAUGGCGUGCAGAGCCGUCGCUCUGUUUAAUUUUCUUAGGUAAAGGGAGUGUCGUAAUGACGAGAACUUUAUUGAGGGAUGAAUAGCCAAUCAUUGGGUUGGUUCGCUAAAUUCUGGGGGACAAUGAAAAUUAUUUUAGAGAGGAUCUGUCAAGUUCGUACCCAGAUCCGACACUGGUGUCCCUAGGCUAGAAACCUAAGGUGUAUCGGGUAUAAAGUAGACGAGGGAAUUCGGCAAAUUAGCCCUGUAACUUCGGAAUAAAGGGUGCCUGCAGUCUUUACGAGGAGUAGGGACAGCAGGUCGCAGUGACAAGGGGGUCCCGACUGUUUAAUAAAAACACAGGAGACUGCUAGUCCGCAAGGAUGUGUAUAGUCUUUGAAUCUUGGUCAGUGGCGGUACCUAAAACUCAAGUUCAAUUGAGCUAAGGGCCGCUUAACACCGGGAGUAACUCUGACUCUCUUAAGGUAGCCAAAUGCCUUGUCGGGUAAGUUCCGACGUGCAUGAAUAGACCAACGAGGGCCCUACUGUCCCCGUCUGCAAACCGGCGAACCCACAUUAGGUGGACGAACAGUCCACCGUCUUCCAUCGGGAAGAGAAGUCCCUGUGGAGCUUUACUGCAGCUUGUUGUUGUGAUGCGGUUCUAAUUUCAGAGAGUAACUGGUAGCCGUUAUGUGCAUACUUUCGGGUAUGUAAUAGGCAAAAGUGUAACACCAGUAUCUUAGAGUUACGUCUCUAACCCUUUAAGGGGACAUCGGCAGGUGGGCAGUUCGGCUGGGGCGGCACCCCCUUGAAAAAAUAUCGAGGGGGCUCUAAGGUUGGCUCAAGUGGGUCAGGAAUCCACUUAUGAGGGCAAGGCCAAAAGCCAGCUUGACAGGAUUCUGAACAAUAAAGAAUUCUGCUGCGAAAGCAUGACCUAGCGAUCCUUCAAGUCCCCACUGUUGGGGGCUGGAGGUGACAGAAAAGUUACCCCAGGGGUAACAGGCUCGUCGCGGGCAAGAGCUCUAAUCGACCCCGCGGUUUGGUACCUCGAUGUCGGCUCUUCCUAUCCUGGUUCUGCAGCAGGAGCCAAGGGUGGGGCUGCUCGCCCAUUAAAAGGGAACGUGAGCUGGGUUUAGACCGUCGUGAGACAGGUCGGUCUCUAUCUGAUGGAAGUGGAAGUUGUCUGAGGGGAACUUGCUCUCAGUACGAGAGGAACAGGGCAAGGCGGCCUCUGGUGUACCGGUUGUUCGACAGAGCACCGCCGGGCAGCUAAGCUGUUGUGGAUUAAGAGCUGAAAGCAUCUAAGCUCGAAGCCACUCCCGAGAAAAGACAGCUAUUUGUUUUUAAUUUCCUUCGGGAAAUUGAAUCAAAGAAGAAUCGUUAUAGAAGAUGACGUUGAUGGUUUGGAAGUGUAAGUUGGGAGGUUUCGACCGACCAAUUUAGCUUGCCAAUCCCAAUUUUUCAAAGUGUAGAAUUGAUCA
rnacentral:rRNA from 1 species